rnacentral:rRNA from 1 species
UACGAAGGGGGCUAGCGUUGUUCGGAAUUACUGGGCGUAAAGCGAGCGUAGGCGGCCAACUAAGUCAUACGUGAAAUCCCUCAGCUUAACUGGGGAACUGCGUGUGAUACUGGAUGGCUUGGAUUUGGGAGAGGGAUGCGGAAUUCCAGGUGUAGCGGUGAAAUGCGUAGAUAUCUGGAGGAACACCGGUGGCGAAGGCGGCAUCCUGGACCAAUAUUGACGCUGAGGAGCGAAAGCUAGGGGAGCAAACGGG